GGCCUAGUGGCAGAACGGCUCUGCAUCUGCUUUAAUUAGGAUGUAAAGGAUUUGUAAUAUGCAGACGACGUUGGUUCGACUCCAGCCUGGGCCA